UGCCCGGAGCAGCCAUGACAGGAACGGAGCACAACCAACCCCGCUCACUAUGUACAUCCUGAAUAAUGGCACCUGAGCCAAUAGUUAUGCCAACAUAUAAGAUACAGAGGCUCCAGCAUGGCAGUGGAGAGCACAGACCAUUGGCUGCAUGAAGGUGGGAGAUCACCCUGCAGCCCCCCAACUCCCUGGACAUGGACUCAGCAGUGAGGCUGCACCCGACCCUGACACAGCACAAAGCCUGGGCCUGCCCCAGAAACACCCUGGGGUCAUACCCCUCUGGGACAGGUGCACCAGGUGUGGGGCAGGCAGCCUCAACCAGACUGCAGCUGUAUUCUUCAGAGCAGCUUUGUGUGUUCAUGGAGCAGAUCUUGUGCUGUGCUUGGUGCAGCUCAGGAGUAAAACUAAUGGGGAAAAAUUGUCAAAUACUUCUGGGGGGAUUUUUUUGAAUUAAAAAUGACUUUUCAACUAAAACAAGUUGUAGAGGUGUGUUUGCAUGCACCUGCAUUUUUUGAC